UGGGGAAUUUUGCACAAUGGGGGAAACCCUGAUGCAGCGACGCCGCGUGUACGAUGAAGAUCUUCGGAUUGUAAAGUACUGUCCUUGGUGAAGAUAAUGACUGUAACCAAGAAGCAAGCCCUGGCUAAAUACGUGCCAGCAGCCGCGGUAAUACGUAUGGGCAAGCGUUGUCCGGAAUUAUUGGGCGUAAAGGGUACGUAGGCGGUUAUUUAAGUCUAAAUUAAAAGGCAUUGGCUCAACCAAUGUAAGGUUUAGAUACUGGAUAACUUGAGUAGAUGAGGGGAAAGUGGAAUUCCAUGUGUAGCGGUGAAAUGCGUAGAUAUAUGGGGGAACACCAAUGGCGAAGGCAACUUUCUGGAAUCAAACUGACGCUGAGGUACGAAGGCGUGGGGAGCAAACAGG
rnacentral:rRNA from 1 species